AUUGAACGCUGGCGGCAGGCCUAACACAUGCAAGUCGAGCGGAUGAAGGGAGCUUGCUCCUGGAUUCAGCGGCGGACGGGUGAGUAAUGCCUAGGAAUCUGCCUGGUAGUGGGGGAUAACGUCCGGAAACGGGCGCUAAUACCGCAUACGUCCUGAGGGAGAAAGUGGGGGAUCUUCGGACCUCACGCUAUCAGAUGAGCCUAGGUCGGAUUAGCUAGUUGGUGGGGUAAAGGCCUACCAAGGCGACGAUCCGUAACUGGUCUGAGAGGAUGAUCAGUCACACUGGAACUGAGACACGGUCCAGACUCCUAUGGGAGGCAGCGGUGGGGAAUAUUGGACAAUGGGCGAAAGCCUGAUCCAGCCAUGCCGCGUGUGUGAAGAAGGUCUUCGGAUUUUAAAGCACUUUAAGUUGGGAGGAAGGGCAGUAAGUUAAUACCUUGCUGUUUUGACGUUACCAACAGAAUAAGCACCGGCUAACUUCGUG
rnacentral:rRNA from 1 species